rnacentral:rRNA from 1 species
AGGGACAGCAGCAGCCGCGGGAACACGUAGGGUGCAAGCGUUAAUCGGAAUUACUGGGCGUAAAGCGUGCGCAGGCGGUUAUAUAAGACAGAUGUGAAAUCCCCGGGCUCAACCUGGGAACUGCAUUUGUGACUGUAUAGCUAGAGUACGGCAGAGGGGGAUGGAAUUCCGCGUGUAGCAGUGAAAUGCGUAGAUAUGCGGAGGAACACCGAUGGCGAAGGCAAUCCCCUGGGCCUGUACUGACGCUCAUGCACGAAAGCGUGGGGAGCAAACAGGAUUAGAUACCCCGGUAGUCCCUGUCUCUUAUAC